CGGCGCGCCUGUGGCUGUGUCACAGCCGAGCCAAGGGCGGGAGAGAGGCCUGGGCCACCGCGGCUGAACGAGGAGCCUGCCCAUCUGGGCAAUGAGGAGAUUGAAGCUGUUCUACUGAUGAAAUAUCCUGUUUUGGUGCAUCCUGGAGCAGUGCUUCGCUGCUCCUCUUCUGGGGCCAUGAGGGCUCCCUCUUGGCUGCUUCUCGCCUUCUUUCCAGCCCAUCCAUAGGACAGGCUGGGAGGCAAGUGAGGAACAGCCUCCCAACCGUGCAUUGCAGCACCUCUCUCCAUCAGAAGUCCACAGGAAACCAGACGGGGCAAAAUAAAAACCAGCCAUUUCAUGCAGUUAGCAAGGAACUGCAGAUUUUAUGGCUGGGCUCCUCAUUUUGCUUCUAGCAUGGCCAGUGAAUACUUGUCAAUGUUUUUCAAAAGUGCUUUGAGAUCCUUCUCUGAAGGUCAGCACAGUGACAGCAAAAAGUCCUCAGGCUCCCGGGACUUCUUCGCCCGUUCUGAGGACAUUUCAGCAAUAAAGCACAUGAGUUUGCAUCAGAAUGAUGCAGAGCUCUUAGUGCUGAGAAAUGAAAGCAAGAAGAACUCCAAAGCAUGUUCUGCACACUGCAGUGUGUCAGCCACAGCUCUCGCCCUCUGGCUGGGGUGAAAGUUUGGGUGAAAUGAGGAGACAGUCAAUACCAUGUGGCUCCUCACCC